GUGAAGCUGGAUUCGCUAGUAAUCGCGCAUCAGCCAUGGCGCGGUGAAUACGUUCCCGGGCCUUGUACACACCGCCCGUCAAGCCAUGAAAGCCGGGGGUACCUGAAGUACGUAACCGCAAGGAGCGUCCUAGGGUAAAACUGGUAAUUGGGGCUAAGUCGUAACAAGGUAAC
rnacentral:rRNA from 1 species